rnacentral:rRNA from 1 species
AGUGAACGCUGGCGGUAGGCCUAACACAUGCAAGUCGAACGGCAGCACAGGAGAGCUUGCUCUCUGGGUGGCGAGUGGCGGACGGGUGAGGAAUACAUCGGAAUCUACUCUGUCGUGGGGGAUAACGUAGGGAAACUUACGCUAAUACCGCAUACGACCUACGGGUGAAAGCAGGGGACCUUCGGGCCUUGCGCGAUUGAAUGAGCCGAUGUCGGAUUAGCUAGUUGGCGGGGUAAAGGCCCACCAAGGCGACGAUCCGUAGCUGGUCUGCGAGGAUGACACGCCACACUGGAACUGAGCCACGGUCCAGACUCCGACGGGAGGCAGCAGUGGGGAAUAUUGGACAAUGGGCGCAAGCCUGAUCCAGCCAUACCGCGUGGGUGAAGAAGGCCUUCGGGUUGUAAAGCCCUUUUGUUGGGAAAGAAAUCCAGCUGGCUAAUACCCGGUUGGGAUGACGGUACCCAAAGAAUAAGCACCGGCUAACUUCGUGCCAGCCGCCGCCGUAA